rnacentral:rRNA from 1 species
UGUCAUAUUACAGAUAUUUGUGGAUAUAAGGGCUACAGUAUAGAUUUACAACACCAUAUAUGAUUGAAGGACAAACUGAGGGUCCUAAACAUAAAUUUAUAGCACACUUAAUAUUGCUAUAAAGGAGUAAAUCUCCAGCUAGGGAAUACAAACUGGGAGUACGUCUAACUAAUACAAACGGGAGUACUACACAUCCCGAGUGGUAGUAGACGUGGCCUGUUUGGUCAUGUGGCGUGGCCCAUGGUUCUGUCGGCACCGCUGAAGCGUGUAAAAGGAAUCGAGGAGGGAGUGGAUAAGGUACACCCCAAAUCACACAUCCACUCCACAAUCGCUCGUUCGAGCUCUGCUUCAGGCCGGCGCUCAGGGCCGGCUCCUUCAGCGGCGUGGUGGCCCCCCCGCAGAGGAGGAGGGGGGUUGGGCGGCGGCCUCGUGAAGGCUGAGAUCUGCGACGCGGCCAGUGAGACCAAGUGCUUCCGGCGACCAGGUGCCGAUGCGGAUUCCAGCGGGGCGAGCAGUCACGGCUGAUGCAAAGCGACGGAGUAGUACACGGGCUUCCGGCGAGGGCGUCGGGAGUGCGGACUGCGGCGCCGCUUCCUGGUGCUCCUUCUCCUCCACAUCCGGUGCUGGGAGGUUGUGGUCGGGGAGCGCUGGGAGAGCGAGGGUCGGCGCAGCGGUCUCGAUCUCGUCUGUCUUCACCUUCGGCAGGAGGUUGAUGACGAAGCCCGACGGUAGCGUCUCCAUGUCAACCGCAGUUGGCGGCGACGAGAACGGCAGGCGUGGCCCGUACCCGUGAAGCGGGCAGUAGUACAUCGUCGGAAAUGAUGCUGGUGGUGGCGCCGGGAGUUCCUCGUCGCCAAAGUCACGCUCGGGAUCGUAGACAAGCCAACCGGCGCUCGGUCCGCCCAGCAGCCACUUCAUGGGCGGAACGGUGAACUCCGGCGGUAGUGGCAUCAGGUCGUCAGCUUCUGCGCUGACGUUUGAGGCAGAGGCCUCGUCUUCGUAUUCUGCGUCGAUCAUCUGUGUUAGACUGUAUUUAGCAUGUGUAUAUUGUAACGUUGUAUACCACCUCAUUAUAUAUAUAUGUGAUAGGCCACCCCUAGAGGGUUGUGUCGGUUCCCCAAAGCCUA